rnacentral:rRNA from 1 species
GACGAACGCUGGCGGCGUGCCUAAUACAUGCGAGUUGAGCGCUGAAGGUUGGUACUUGUACCAACUGGAUGAGCAGCGAACGGGUGAGUAACGCGUGGGGAAUCUGCCUUUGAGCGGGGGACAACAUUUGGAAACGAAUGCUAAUACCGCAUAAAAACUUUAAACACAAGUUUUAAGUUUGAAAGAUGCAAUUGCAUCACUCAAAGAUGAUCCCGCGUUGUAUUAGCUAGUUGGGGAGGUAAAGGCUCACCAAGGCGAUGAUACAUAGCCGACCUGAGAGGGUGAUCGGCCACAUUGGGACUGAGACACGGCCCAAACGCCUACGGGAGGCAGCAGUAGGGAAUCUUCGGCAAUGGACGAAAGUCUGACCGAGCAACGCCGCGUGAGUGAAGAAGGUUUUCGGAUCGUAAAACUCUGUUGGUAGAGAAGAACGUUGGUGAGAGUGGAAAGCUCAUCAAGUGACGGUAACUACCCAGAAAGGGACGGCUAACUACGUG